GAUGAAGAACGCAGCGAAAUGCGAUAAGUAAUGUGAAUUGCAGAAUUCAGUGAAUCAUCGAAUCUUUGAACGCACAUUGCGCCCGCCAGUAUUCUGGCGGGCAUGCCUGUUCGAGCGUCAUUACAACCCUCAGGCCCCCGGGCCUGGCGUUGGGGAUCGGCGGAGACCCCCGUGGGCACACGCCGUCCCCCAAAUGCAGUGGCGGUCCCGCCGCAGCUUCCAUCGCGUAGUAGCUAACACCUCGCGACUGGAGAGCGGCGCGGCCACGCCGUAAAACACCCAACUCUUCUGAAGUUGACCUCGAAUCAGGUAGGAAUACCCGCUGAACUUAAGCAUAUCAAUAAGCGGAGGA
rnacentral:misc_RNA from 1 species